CACUCUGUGAAAUGUAUAUCUAUGGAUUGUCAUCUGCUAUAUGACAAUAGCUUAAAGCCUGCCUUGGUCCACGUUCCACUAGCAGCUGUCAAGAAAUAAACAUCCGCAUCCCAGGCCUUCUUCCACGGCUCACACCUUUGUGCUUUCUGGGUCACUAUAACAAAAUGCCACAGACCAAGUGGCUUACAAACAACAGAAAUGUACUGCUCACAGUUCUCAGGCUGCAAGUCUGAGACCAGGGUGUCAGCAUGGUGGGGAGAGGGUGCUCUUCCCGGUCACAGACGUCUUGUUGUAUCCUCUCAGGGUGGAAGGGGCUAGGGAGCUCUGCCGGUGUCCUUUAUAAGAGCCCUAAUCUCAUUCAUGAGGGCUUCACCCUCCUGACCUCAUCACCUCCCCAGAGCCAUCAGAAGGGAAUCCACAAGCUCCCACCACAUCUUCUCACCUCCCAGAAUUGGUGCCCUAGGCUAUGCCUUCCUCCUGUUACCAAAGAGCUUCAAAGAAGAGCCUCUUCACAUGACACCUGCUUUUUCUCUUGCCUUCUAAGGGACCUUUUCUCAGCAAUUCUUCCUCUUUUCUCUUGUAUUGAUUUUUUUCUCUCCAUUGGAUCAUUCAAACACCAUAAAAACCUGCCAUAAUGUCCCAGUGUUAUAAAACAUAUCAUUGAUCCUGUGUCUUUCUUUAGUCACCCCCUCCCCAUUUUUCUAUCCUUUUCAACAAAGUUCCCUGGCAGAGCUGUCCCUGCCCCAUUGAUUAUGGUCAGACAAUGGCUAGAAACUGGCCACUGGGACAACUGCUCAGCCUCUCCUGGUUGCUGAAUUCAGUAGUGCAUGUCAGUCUUCCUCUUCUUUGGCCUGUUUGAUCAGCUACCCUUCCUUACAUGAUGUCCAGUUCUCUACACUUCUCCAGUUUUCCACAUACCUUAGAGGUUUUCCUUGUAAAAAGCUCGUUGCUGUUUUUGCUUGUCAGCCCAACUUCUUGCUGUUAGAAUGACCCAGAACCAGGCUUCAGCCCUUUGCAAACUUUUCCACCAUAAGCUCUCCUCAUCUCCACUCCAGGAACCCAAGCUCUUAUGCUGAAAAUUAAAAAGUCCAUAGGCUUUGUCGACCUUGGCCUGUGCUCUAGCUGCCCAGUGAGCCACUGGAAAAAUCAAUAUUUGAUGAAAAUUUGAAUAUAUUUACUCUUGUGGUUUUAAAUAAUAUCUGUAUGCUGAAAAUUUCCAAACUAAUCUCUCCUAUGCUAUGGACCUGUCUAUACAACUGCCUAAGUGAAGGCUCCACUUGAGUGCUUUACAGGCACUCAGAACUUUAUAGUUCCUUACCAGAACUGAAUGGAACACCUUUAAUUGGAUCAUCCUCCCAUCAUUACCACCUCAGGUGGUGACACCUCAUCCUUCAGCUGCUUAGGCUGAAAAAUACUGCAGUCUUCUUUGCUCCUGUCUUUCUUGCCCAAAGCCAAAUCAUCAGCAAAUCCUAACUAUCUCACGCCACCGUCACUGCUCCCUUCCUGGUCCGAGCCACCAUCCUCUCUCACCUGACUGAUGCAAAGGCCCCUCACUGGUCUGUCUGCCUCCCGCUUGUUCAUCUUCUCUCUCCCCAUCCCCCCCAGCAGUUUAUUUGCAGCACAUCAGAUCAUCUCUUGCCCUCCAGUGCCUCCCUGUUUCAUAAUGGCUUCUGAGGCUAUCCGUGAUCUGGUUCUCUAUAAUCCUUGACUUCCCUUGGGCAGAUGUUUCUGCUGUAACCGUCUGUGUGUGUCCUAUAAAACUUUGUGUUCUGUAAAAUGUACUCUUAAAAAAAAAAACAGGGCUUUUGGGAAAAGUAGGAUUAGAGCAGAUCUUUCCUAUUUCACACAACUUGAAAACCAUGCUAACCAGAGCCAUAAGGGAUAGUUCUGGGUCAGGGGAGCUGGGCAAGUGGGAGGGGGACAGUUUUGGGGGGGUGGUCAGAGCCUGGUGCAGGUGCUCAUCCUCUUAAAUGGACCUGAAAUCACUCCAGCCUGUGCUGAAGCCAAACUGAGGCCUUCCUCUUUCCCUGCCAAGAUUAGAAUUCUACCCCUGCUCUUCUGGCUCCUU
rnacentral:lncRNA from 1 species